GGUUUUAGCCCUCUCACGGGUCAGAGCUGAAGUCUCACUGAAGUUGUUAUUUACAACUUUAAAAAGAGAUACAACAAAUGUUCACUUGUGAUCUCCAUAGUUGGCAAUUUUAAAUGUUGUUUGUUGAUGAUAGACAGACAGACAGAAGCUAAAUAGAUUCAGUAACUCCCUAAAAGGUGUUAGGAGACGCAAUACAUUUUAAAUUUAAAGGAAACAAAGAAAAUAAGAAGACCAACAAAGAAUUAAUCAUAGUAAAACAGGGAGAGUAAAUUGCGGACAGAUGCUGGACUUUGAGAAAGCCCCCAAAAGAAAGCUUAGCCAAGAAAAAAUUAAACUGAAAAAUCAUAAAAAACACCAAGAUGAAGAUUAUAAAGAGAAUCAAGAAAAGCAGAUAUACCUGAUGACUAGAAAAGCCAAGGGAAAACUAAGAC